GAUGAACGCUGGCGGCGUGCCUAAUACAUGCAAGUCGAGCGAACGGACGAGAAGCUUGCUUCUCUGAUGUUAGCGGCGGACGGGUGAGUAACACGUGGAUAACCUACCUAUAAGACUGGGAUAACUUCGGGAAACCGGAGCUAAUACCGGAUAAUAUUUUGAACCGCAUGGUUCAAAAGUGAAAGACGGUCUUGCUGUCACUUAUAGAUGGAUCCGCGCUGCAUUAGCUAGUUGGUAAGGUAACGGCUUACCAAGGCAACGAUGCAUAGCCGACCUGAGAGGGUGAUCGGCCACACUGGAACUGAGACACGGUCCAGACUCCUACGGGAGGCAGCAGUAGGGAAUCUUCCGCAAUGGGCGAAAGCCUGACGGAGCAACGCCGCGUGAGUGAUGAAGGUCUUCGGAUCGUAAAACUCUGUUAUUAGGGAAGAACAUAUGUGUAAGUAACUGUGCACAUCUUGACGGUACCUAAUCAGAAAGCCACGGCUAACUACGUGCCAGCAGCCGCGGUAAUACGUAGGUGGCAAGCGUUAUCCGGAAUUAUUGGGCGUAAAGCGCGCGUAGGCGGUUUUUUAAGUCUGAUGUGAAAGCCCACGGCUCAACCGUGGAGGGUCAUUGGAAACUGGAAAACUUGAGUGCAGAAGAGGAAAGUGGAAUUCCAUGUGUAGCGGUGAAAUGCGCAGAGAUAUGGAGGAACACCAGUGGCGAAGGCGACUUUCUGGUCUGUAACUGACGCUGAUGUGCGAAAGCGUGGGGAUCAAACAGGAUUAGAUACCCUGGUAGUCCACGCCGUAAACGAUGAGUGCUAAGUGUUAGGGGGUUUCCGCCCCUUAGUGCUGCAGCUAACGCAUUAAGCACUCCGCCUGGGGAGUACGACCGCAAGGUUGAAACUCAAAGGAAUUGACGGGGACCCGCACAAGCGGUGGAGCAUGUGGUUUAAUUCGAAGCAACGCGAAGAACCUUACCAAAUCUUGACAUCCUUUGACAACUCUAGAGAUAGAGCCUUCCCCUUCGGGGGACAAAGUGACAGGUGGUGCAUGGUUGUCGCCAGCUCGUGUCGUGAGAUGUUGGGUUAAGUCCCGCAACGAGCGCAACCCUUAAGCUUAGUUGCCAUCAUUAAGUUGGGCACUCUAAGUUGACUGCCGGUGACAAACCGGAGGAAGGUGGGGAUGACGUCAAAUCAUCAUGCCCCUUAUGAUUUGGGCUACACACGUGCUACAAUGGACAAUACAAAGGGCAGCGAAACCGCGAGGUCAAGCAAAUCCCAUAAAGUUGUUCUCAGUUCGGAUUGUAGUCUGCAACUCGACUACAUGAAGCUGGAAUCGCUAGUAAUCGUAGAUCAGCAUGCUACGGUGAAUACGUUCCCGGGUCU
rnacentral:rRNA from 1 species